rnacentral:rRNA from 1 species
AACGAACGCUGGCGGCAGGCCUAACACAUGCAAGUCGAGCGAGGCUUCGAGCCGAGCGGCGAACGGCUGAGUAACACGUUGGAACAUGCCCCGAACUCAGGGAUAACUCAUCGAAAGAUGAGCUAAUACCGGAUAGUCCCGCAAGGGUAAAGCUUUUGCGGUUCGGGAGUGGCCUGCGGUCUAUCAGCUAGUUGGUAAGGUAAAAGCUUACCAAGGCUAUGACGGAUAGCUGGUGUGAGAGCACGACCAGUCAGAAUGGAACUGAGACACGGUCCAUACUCCUACGGGAGGCAGCAGUAAGGAUCUUCCGCAAUGGGCGAAAGCCUGACGGAGCGACACCGCGUGAGGGAUGACACCUUUUGGGGCGUAAACCUCUUUUCUGAGUGAAUAAGUUCUGAAGUUAACUCAGGAAUAAGCUCCGGCUAAUUACGUGCCA